UACGUGCUCCGGGGUCGGUGUAAUUCCGAGCCGGCGGUGAUAGUCCGCGACCCGGCCACCUUCGGGUGGUCGGUUGACCUGGUGGAACUCCAGGACCGACGGUGAAAGUCCGGAUGGGAGGCGCACGUG
rnacentral:ncRNA from 1 species